rnacentral:rRNA from 1 species
UACAGAGGUCUCAAGCGUUGUUCGGAUUCAUUGGGCGUAAAGGGUGCGUAGGCGGGCAGGUAAGUCAGUGGUGAAAUCUUCGAGCUUAACUCGGAAACUGCCUUUGAUACUAUCUGUCUUGAAUAUGGUGGAGGUAAGCGGAAUAUGUCAUGUAGCGGUGAAAUGCUUAGAUAUGACAUAGAACACCUAUUGCGAAGGCAGCUUACUACGCCUAUAUUGACGCUGAGGCACGAAAGCGUGGGGAUCAAACAGG